CGCGUGACGUACUAUAUAUGUAUGCACGUUUGAUAAAUCAGAUGUCAAAAUACACACCAAGAAUAGCCCUGAGCCAGGACCCUGUCGAGACUGAGAUGUUGUUUAGACGACGGCUGUCCUGGAUGUUUAGUUCAUCCUUUUAUUGAGACGUUACCUGCAGAUGGCAUACUGCAACGAGCUUCCAUAUUGACCGGAGAAACCCUGCACGUGAACCAGAUACAGAAAAUAUGCAUUGAGCUGCGACAAGGAACCGGCCGAGUACCCUGGGAGAAUGUGAGAGAAGACGUUGAAGUUUAGGAGACAAAACCUCAAAAGACCAGGGAACUAAAGUAGGAACCCAAAGAUAGUAAACAAGAGGCAGGGGGAACAAGGCGAGAGCUCUAAGAUAGUAAACAAGAGGCAGGGAGAACAAGGCGAGAGCUCUAAGAUAGUAAACAAGAGGCAGGGGGAACAAGGCGAGAGCUCUAAGAUAGUGAGGAUAGUGCGAGAGACUAUAGGCUGGCGAAACGAGAACACCAAAAUUGCAACUUAUUGAAACGGGUCUCAAGUAAUGGCCUCAAGAGUAUUUAAGGCUUAAGACAGAACUCGAAAUUGCUGAGAGCUUAUAGGAGGCAAAAGGACAACCAAAAACAGAUCAACAAAACAAAGCCAGAACUCCUAAUGAUGGCCAUGACUACCGUGAAUUAAUGAACAAAACCACGACCCAGAUUUCAAUUUGAGUUCCAAGAUGAUGGACCCACUGGAUGAAAAACACAUCCAGGUGUGGGAUGAAAAUCCACACAAACAGGCGAAUACGGCCACACUGGCCUCGAAAUGUUCUAACGGCAAACUCACAUUGAUUUGUACAUUUUUGUUUUUGUUAAGUCUUUUUAUGCUCUUAGUGAUGUACAAAGAUAUAUGGCGUAUGAAUUUGAUGUCAAACAAACUCAAAGAAUCCCUCCAUGACGUAGAGGAAGUACAUAAACGUGUUACCUGGAUGAUCAAUCGCAUCAGGCAUGCGCAAAACAUGUCGUCUGUGUCAGAAGUGUUGAGCAACGUCAGACAUGUGUGAGUCAGUCGUGUUGUCAACACAACGAAUGUCCCCACGAGAGUUUAAAGGAUAUAGAUGCUGAAGCAUGAACCAACUCCGGGACCAAAAUUCCAAAAAUUUCUUUAGGCAUUUCCUGUUUUUCUCUACUAACAUAGAAGAACAAUUGGGAUUACUCGAAGUUAUGUAUCACACUCUCGAGAUAUCCUAAAACGUCUCCUUGUCGAAUUAUAUACAGUGGACUCUGUCUGAACCGGACACCUUUGGGACCACAUAAUAAAGCCGGUUUGUAGACAGUUCCGGAUUGUAGAGAUUCUACUUGAUAUCGUUGUUGAAUGCAAAAAAAAUGAAUAAAAGAUAUAUCAUAAAGUA